rnacentral:tRNA from 1 species
GGAGGGCUCGCAUAAUGGUAUUGCAGCAGUCUUGAAAACUGCCGGCCGCAAGGCUAUGAGAGUUCGAAUCCCUCGCCCUCCG